rnacentral:rRNA from 1 species
AUUGAACGCUGGCGGCAGGCUUAACACAUGCAAGUCGAGCGGAGAUGAGGUGCUUGCACCUUAUCUUAGCGGCGGACGGGUGAGUAAUGCUUAGGAAUCUGCCAUUUAGUGGGGGACAACAUUCCGAAAGGAAUGCUAAUACGGCAUACGUCCUACGGGAGAAAGCAGGGGAUCUUCGGACCUUGCGCUAAAUGAUGAGCCUAAGUCGGAUUAGCUAGUUGGUGGGGUAAAGGCCUACCAAGGCGACGAUCUGUAGCGGGUCUGAGAGGAUGAUCCGCCACACUGGGACGGAGACACGACCCUGACGCCUACGGGGGGCAGCAGUGGGGAAUAUUGGACAAUUGGCGGAAGCCUGAUCCAGCCAUGCCGCGUGUGUGAAGAAGGCCUUUUGGUUGUAAAGCACUUUAAGCGAGGAGGAGGCUACUAGUACUAAUACUACUGGAUAGUGGACGUUACUCGCAGAAUAAGCACCGGCUAACUCUGUGCCAGCCGCCGCAGUAA